GGCGACACGAAGUGGGACCAGUAACGAGGAAGAUCAAGAUCGCAUUUUGGAUUUCUGGAGUAAACGAACUCCGGCCGUCGGGUCGAACCCAUCAUUUAUCUGGCUCAUAACCAUGAAGACUGAUCACGCUAGAGCACACGUGGCGGCCAUCCCGAGUGACACAUGCCUAUAUGCCAAAGUACAUGGGAUUUCAAAAGGAUGAUCAUGAACUCUUGGAUGACGGGAUUACUUUGCAAACAAAUUAUCCAUCUAAUCCUUCCACGUAUCAGAGUUCCCUCAAGUUCCUUUCUCAGGCGGGAUAAGCCUUCCGAAACGCUCAGAUUUCAUCCCGUUCGGAACGGAGUCCCACCACCCAUGGAUAAAGCCCAGGCUUCCGCUCAUCUCAUGCAUUUCCUCCGCGUGUCUUCCCUCCUGUCCGCGAUUCAAGGAUCAGCUCCCAGUUCCCCUGUUCCGAGUUCAUCUUUAUCUCACGGAUCAACCAUGAGCCAAAUCCAAACUCCCUUCAUCCAUGCGUUCUAGCCGUCCGUGAGAUUUGCCCCAAUGUCAAGAUCAAAUCUCUUCCCGGUUAUGAACGAAUCCCAGCAUCCCAUCAACCUCCGAGAUCCUCUCAUGUCUCCAUUUCAGCGUCAUCCUCUCCCCAUUCCGUGGAUCACGUCCCAGCCAUUUUCCGAACCAACCCAGUGUUCCGGAUUGAUCCUUAUCCAGCUUCCUCCCGCGAUACAUGCCAAGCAAACAAUCUUCUGAGCGCGUCCACUUCUUCCGGCAUCUUCUCUCAACCGUGAACAUUAUCCCCUGCAUCCAAGGAUCAAGCCAAAUUCUCCAGCCGCCCCCUCAAGGAUCCAAAUCAAAGCCUUCCGGAUCCCCUGCAUCCCAGAACAGAGUCUAACCUCUCCCAAAAUUAAGCAUCUCAUGUUCAUCUUUCCAUCGGAUCUCCAUCCUGUUUGCAUGCUGUUCCCAGUUCCGCAUCCAAAGCUCCUUCCAAGUCAUCCCUUUCUUCCCCUGUUUCGAAACAGAGCCGCAUGAUCCACGGAUAAACCCAAAUCCCAGCAUCUCCCCCGCUCAAAUGAUCCCAACCGAAUCCACACGUUCUUCCCCUCGCGCCUGUGUUCAUCUUCCACGCGUCCGGAUCAACUCCAUCCAGCAGCGUCGGGUUCCCCUGCUUCAAAACAAAAUCCCCUGCAUUCCCAAUCGAGUCCUCUCCGCGUACCCUCCGAGUAUCUCUCCUCUUCCGAAUCAAGCCAACUUCUUCCGGAUUCAUCCCAAACUCCUUCUGGAUUUUCUCAGCCGUCCCAGUUCCUUCCACGUCUGGGUACUCCGCUCUCAUCCCCUGCAUCCACGUCAGCAGCCUCUACCCUUUCUCUCGUUCAUGGAUUGAUUCCAACCAGCAGAAUCUCAGCAACGUAUCAACUUCCCGUGAUCAGCUCUCGCAUGAAUCCCAUGUUCUUAUCUCCCUUGCUUCAGAACAGCCACAGGAGGUAAAAACAGUGGGCUGGGGAGGCUAUAAAAGGGAGAGAUUUCUCCUCUUCGUGGCAAUCUUCUCUCAGGCCAAAUCCCAUAGAGUAAAAGGAGGAAGAAUACUUUGGGGUAUUCUGGGAAGAACUUCCCACAGAAAGAAAAAAAAAUGAAGUGCUAGAGAGGGGAGUUGCGACGGGAGAGGAAAGAGCCGAAGGAAGAAAGAAAGAAGUUCUGGUCGCGAUGGAAGCUCUUCGCGCUGCUGCUGUCGUCCACAACUAUAUGCUGGGCUGAUCUCCUCACUAGGGCUGGAUGAAGCUGUAACAGAGAAAUAAGGAUUUUUGUAUCUUUAAUUUUUGUUCUUGGAGUUGUAUGAAUCCUCUUACUCUUAAAUGAAUAUUUUUCUUUCAUCUCA